CUGCAGUCGACGGUAACAGGUCUUCGGAUGCUGACGAGUGGCGAACGGGUCAGUAAUACAUCGGAACGUGCCCGAUCGUGGGGGAUAACGGAGCGAAAGCUUUGCUAAUACCGCAUACGAUCUACGGAUGAAAGCAGGGGACCGCAAGGCCUUGCGCGGACGGAGCGGCCGAUGGCAGAUUAGGUAGUUGGUGGGAUAAAAGCUUACCAAGCCGACGAUCUGUAGCUGGUCUGAGAGGACGACCAGCCACACUGGGACUGAGACACGGCCCAGACUCCUACGGGAGGCAGCAGUGGGGAAUUUUGGACAAUGGGCGAAAGCCUGAUCCAGCCAUGCCGCGUGCAGGAUGAAGGCCUUCGGGUUGUAAACUGCUUUUGUACGGAACGAAAAGACUCCUUCUAAUAAAGGGGGUCCAUGACGGUACCGUAAGAAUAAGCACCGGCUAACUACGUGCCAGCAGCCGCGGUAAUACGUAGGGUGCAAGCGUUAAUCGGAAUUACUGGGCGUAAAGCGUGCGCAGGCGGUUAUAUAAGACAGAUGUGAAAUCCCCGGGCUCAACCUGGGAACUGCAUUUGUGACUGUAUAGCUAGAGUACGGUAGAGGGGGAUGGAAUUCCGCGUGUAGCAGUGAAAUGCGUAGAUAUGCGGAGGAA
rnacentral:rRNA from 1 species